rnacentral:rRNA from 1 species
UACAGAGGUCUCAAGCGUUGUUCGGAUUCAUUGGGCGUAAAGGGUGCGUAGGCUGUGAGGUAAGUCUGGUGUGAAAUCCCGGGGCUCAACUGUCGAGGUGCCAUUGAUACUGUAGGACUAGAGUACUGUUGAGGUAGGCGGAAUGGACGGUGUAGCGGUGAAAUGCUUAGAUAUCGUCCAGAACACCGAUAGCGAAGGCAGCUUACUAAAGAGUAACUGACGCUGAGGCACGAAAAGUGUGGGGAUCAAACAGG